CAGCCGCCGCGGUAAUACCGGCGGCCCGAGUGGCGGCCACUAUUAUUGGGCUUAAAGCGUCCGUAGCCGGGUUGGUUAGUCUCCCGGGAAAUCUGGCCGCUUAACGGUCAGAAUUCCGGGAGAUACUGCCAGCCUAGGGACCGGGAGAGGCCGAGGGUAUUCCCGGAGUAGGGGUGAAAUCCUAUAAUCCCGGGAGGACCACCUGUGGCGAAGGCGCUCGGCUGGAACGGGUCCGACGGUGAGGGACGAAGGCCAGGGGAGCGAACCGGAUUAGAUACCCGGGUAGUCCUGGCGGUAAACGAUGCGGACUAGGUGUCGGGCAAGCUAAGGGCUUGUCCGGUGCCGCAGGGAAGCCGUUAAGUCCGCCGCCUGGGGAGUACGGCCGCAAGGCUGAAACUUAAAGGAAUUGGCGGG
rnacentral:rRNA from 1 species